UUACGACCACAUUAUGUUGAAACACCAGUUCCUGUAGGAUCACUGAAGUUAAGCAAUGUUGAGCUUGAUCAGUACCUAGAUGGGUGACCACUUGGGAAUACAGGUGGUGUA